CAGAUACAGAACCAGCUGACGGAUGUCCUGCAACAAUAAACUGAUUAUAUUGUCAUGGAUAGGUAUAGAACACUGGGAGACAGAUACAGAACCAGUUGACGGAUGUCCUGCAACAAUAAACUGAUUAUAUUGUCAUGGAUAGGUAUAGAACACUGGGAGACAGAUACAGAACCAGUUGACGGAUGUCCUGCAACAAUAAACUGAUUAUAUUGUCAUGGAUAUGUAUAGAACACUGGGAGACAGAUACAGAACCAGCUGACGGAUGUCCUGCAACAAUAAACUGAUUAUAUUGUCAUGGAUAGGUAUAGAACACUGGGAGACAGAUACAGAACCAGCUGACGGAUGUCCUGCAACAAUAAACUGAUUAUAUUGUCAUGGAUAGGUAUAGAACACUGGGGACAGAUACAGAACCAGCUGACGGAUGUCCUGCAACAAUAAACUGAUUAUAUUGUCAUGGAUAGGUAUAGAACACUGGGAGACAGAUACAGAACCAGUUGACGGAUGUCCUGCAACAAUAAACUGAUUAUAUUGUCAUGGAUAGGUAUAGAACACUGGGAGACAGAUACAGAACCAGUUGACGGAUGUCCUGCAACAAUAAACUGAUUAUAUUGUCAUGGAUAGGUAUAGAACACUGGGAGACGGAUACAGAACCAGCUGACGGAUGUUCUGCAACAAUAAACUGAUUAUAUUGUCAUGGAUAGGUAUAGAACACUGGGAGACAGAUACAGAACCAGCUGAUGGAUGUCCUGCAACAAUAAACUGAUUAUAUUGUCAUGGAUAGGUAUAGAACACUGGGGGACAGAUACAGAACCAGUUGACGGAUGUCCUGCAACAAUAAACUGAUUAUAUUGUCAUGGAUAGGUAUAGAACACUGGGGGACAGAUACAGAACCAGUUGACGGAUGUCCUGCAACAAUAAACUGAUUAUAUUGUCA